AACGAACGCUGGCGGCAGGCUUAACACAUGCAAGUCGAGCGCCCCGCAAGGGGAGCGGCAGACGGGUGAGUAACGCGUGGGAAUCUACCCAUCUCUACGGAAUAACGCAUGGAAACGUGUGCUAAUACCGUAUACGUCCUUCGGGAGAAAGAUUUAUCGGAGAUGGAUGAGCCCGCGUUGGAUUAGCUAGUUGGUGGGGUAAAGGCCUACCAAGGCGACGAUCCAUGGCUGGUCUGAGAGGAUGAUCAGCCACACUGGGGCGGAGACACGGCCAGCGUUCCUACGGGAGGCAGAAGUGGGGAAUAUUGGACAAUGGGCGCAAGCCUGAUCCAGCCAUGCCGCGUGAUUGAUGAAGGCCCUAGGGUGGUAAAGCUCUUUCACCGGUGAAGAUAAUGACGGUAACCGGAGAAGAAGCCCCGGCUAACUUCGUGCCAGCAGCCGCCGCAGUAA
rnacentral:rRNA from 1 species